rnacentral:lncRNA from 1 species
CAACACAGUUAACAAGGCAGAGACAGAGGAGCCUGUGGGAAAGCACACAGUUAGAACUGACUUUUUUCAGAACUAUGAACAGCAACACAUUUAAAAGGAUGAAAACGUCGACAAUUUCCAUACCUUGUCAAUAAUCCAGAGCUGGGCGUGUCCGAUCGACUGCAUUCACCGCGCAUCUUGAUAUUUUAAAAUAGAAGAUAUUUUCAAAUUAAAAGUCUCUUCGCUGCCGAGGUAAAAACGCGGCGUGCUAUCUGGGUCCCGUCAUUCCCACGCUGUUUGCGAAACGAAAGUGAAGAGGCUGCGGGCGGAAAGUUUCGAUUCCCGGCUUCGCGUUUUAACUCCACGUUCUGUGGGGCGUUCAUGCAAGAUCGAGCGCCACAGUUGAGUUUUUUUUUUUUUUUUUAAGAUUCAGAAUAGGUUUAAUCUUUUUAAGAACUUUAGCGGUUCCCUGCAGUGCCGCAUGCCGAGACCGGUCUUAUAUAGCGCGUUAUAGCCGCGAAGCGAAACCUAGGCAGAAUCGAAAUCGAACCUCGGCGUGUAAUCGUGAUGGGAUCGUCGGGCGCGUAUAAACCCGGUGGUCUGGUCUUCAGACCCCACCCGUGUACGAAAGCACGUCCCCUCACUAGAACCCCGCAGCCAGGCCAGCAUGGCGGUUCUAUUAAACGCCCUGCUCGCGUUCUGUGUUCAUGCAUCAUAUGUCAGCCCCACCGCUUCCUCACAGACCCAUAUGAUCCGAGGUAAGGAGAACGCCACCCUGACCUGCAGCAUCCCCGUCAACUCCACAGAUGCAGUCAUAUGGUUCCACCAGCGAGCAGUGGACCUGACUGCAGUGCUCAAGGUCGAGAUCUCCACAAGAACGGGGGACUUGAUGUACACCCAAACUAUGGGGGAUCGAUUCGAUCUGCGCUGGGAUAGACUGAGCAGCGUGAUCAGUCUGGUGGUCACCGACGUCCGAGAAUCAGAUUUGGGGACCUAUCACUGCAUCAUGCAACAGAACAAGAUGGUGCAUUUGGGGACAAGCGUCAAACUGGCGUUUCUAGGUGAAGAGAGUGGGUGUCCUGAUCUCUGCUGGGUGCUUGCGGCUGGCAUGGGUGCUGCUUCUGCCGUCCUGUGUGCGCUCUGUACUUACUUCCUCCGCCACCUUCAAGGUGUCCACCAUUUUUUUCCCUUGUGCAGAAUAAGUGCUAGACUGUGCAUAACUAUAAUACUGCUGUUUCAUUUCUUCUUCCGAAUCCUUAACAGGCAAAACCCGCACUCGAGAACAGAAGGUAUUUUUUUAUAUUAAAAAAGUAUGCACUCACUAAAAAUGUCACAACCCAUGCGUACUGUAUUUAAGACAUGUCAUUGGUUAUAGGGUGGGGACGUGCACUAUGCCAGCCUGAAAGUUUUACGUCCAAAAAAAGAGUUCUGCUCAGAAGGACCUAUCAUUCCGUUCAGAUGAGGUGACCUAUGCAGCUGUGGCACAUCGAACCUCCGGCAAUCCCAGUGCUUGAUAAGCAAGCUUGUAUGUGUGUGUGAGUGAGAGAAUAAGCCAUACCAGCAUCGUCAUAUUUACUCAUAUUUAAUGCUGAUCACUUCAACGGCAGACACCAGUGAUACCAGUGCGUUACAUCAUGACUAGUGAAAUGAACAAAGACCGGUAUCUCUUCUCAGGCUUGGUCAGGUACUGCAAUGGCGAUGGUGGAGUAGAUGACCUGAUGUGUCUUGUCCUGCACUCUUCCUUUCUCUCUCCAGUUCUGGUGACCCAAAGAAGCAUAGUGGAGCUCACUGUCCCCUGUAUCAGGGCAAAUCUGCACACAUACACACGCUUAUUAUGAAUUACUAAACUCUGAGCAUAAACAUAAUUACAGUAAUAUCUUCAUAAACGGCUGAAGGCAUUGCAAUAUCUUUACUUACUCCAUUCUCAUCAUCACUCUGAGAUGAUUCUGAACCUACAGCACAUUGGAAUGCUCUUAUUUUACAAUUAAAUUCAUCUCACUUUCAAUCUGUUGUAUCAAGUGUAGUGGACAACACUAUCACCUGUCUGUGCCAGUCUGUGGGUUUGAAGCAUCAUGUCCUGAUUAAAUCUUGAUCCUAAGAACAUUCAAAGUUAGGUUUUAUAUUUAUUUUUGUUUUAAAUAUACAUAUCAUGUGCAAAACAUACAGUACAGGCCAAAAGUUUGGACACACCUUCUCAUUCAAUGUGCUUUCUUUAUUUUCAUGACCAUUUACGUUGGUAGAUUCUCACUGAAGGCAUCAGAACUAUGAAUGAACACAUGUGGAGUUACGUACUUAACAAAAAAAAG